GCUUGGCUCUCCGGAGAAGAUGGCGGCGGCGGACCUCGCACAGAUUCCUGAAGUGGACAUCGAUUCGGACGGCGUCUUCAAGUACGUGCUGGUCCGGGUGCACUCAGCACAGCCCUCCGGGGCUCCGGCCGGGGAGUGCAAGGAGAUCGUGCGAGGCUACAAGUGGGCCGAGUACCACGCCGACAUCUACGACAAAGUAUCUGGCGAACUGCAGAAGAAGGGCUAUGACUGCGAGUGCCUGGGGGGUGGGCGCAUCUCUCACCAGAGCCAGGACAAGAAGAUUCACGUCUAUGGCUACUCCAUGGGCUACGGUCGGGCCCAGCACUCCGUCUCAACUGAGAAGAUCAAGGCCAAGUAUCCUGACUACGAGGUCACCUGGGCCGAUGAUGGCUACUAAGGCCAAGCCCCACCUGCGGACUCUGUCCUUGCUGGGGUCCCUCCUGAGAGGUUGGCCCAGCCCUUUUCCUCUGCAUUUCUUGGCAAUGUGCCAGCCCUCUGAGCCUCAGAGGCCAGACCAACCUGGCUUGUGGAAAUUAAAAGCUUGGUCUCCUCCAGGCCAGCCUCCUGACUCAGCCUCCUAAAUAGCAGGGAUUACAAGGCAUGCCCCACUGCGCCUGGCUCGGCAGUUUUGAAAGAUGAGAACAUGGCCACGUAGGAGUUCACAACCUGAGCCACAUGUGGGGCAGGAGG